CCUUGACAUACUAAGAACUUUCCAGAGAUGGAUUGGUGCCUUCGGGAACUUAGAUACAGGUGCUGCAUGGCUGUCGUCAGCUCGUGUCGUGAGAUGUUGGGUUAAGUCCCGCAACGAGCGCAACCCUUUUCCUUAUUUGCCAGCGGGUCAUGCCGGGAACUUUAAGGAUACUGCCAGUGACAAACUGGAGGAAGGCGGGGACGACGUCAAGUCAUCAUGGCCCUUACGGCCAGGGCUACACACGUGCUACAAUGGUCGGUACAAAGGGUUGCUACCUCGCGAGAGGAUGCUAAUCUCAAAAAGCCGAUCGUAGUCCGGAUCGCAGUCUGCAACUCGACUGCGUGAAGUCGGAAUCGCUAGUAAUCGCGGAUCAGAAUGCCGCGGUGAAUACGUUCCCGGGCCUUGUACACACCGCCAGUCACACCAUGGGAGUUUGUUGCACCAGAAGUAGGUAGUCUAACCGCAAGGAGGACGCUUACCACGGUGUGGCCGAUGACUGGGGUGAAGUCGUAACAAGGUAGGCGUAGAUGA
rnacentral:rRNA from 1 species